CUUCAUCAGACUACAGUUAAAAGACAUCAGCAGAAAUGAGGGCACUUGUAAUCUUAAGCCUCUUGGGAUGUGCACUUGGACAAGACAAGAUUUUUUCUUGGAGUGGAAAUGACAGCCAAGUUGACGCCAAUGAGAAUGCGUGUCUGACUGAUGUGGCGUCUUGUGGGUGCUGCCUGAUGAAGAAGCAGAUGUGGAAGCUCGAGAUGUUUUUCAACAUGACAUUAAAUGAACUACAGGGGAACCUGGAGAGAGCUCAUUCAGUGUUAAACAAUA